CCCAACAUGGCGGACGAGGAACCGCUGCUGCCGCCGGACGAAGACUCCGCCUCUCCCCCGCCUCCCCCUCCCCCUCCGGCCUCCUCCUGGCGAAUCGGAGCCGCUUUUUGGAUUUUGGGCCUCUGUAACAACCUCCCCUAUGUGGUGAUGCUCAGCGCCGCCCGCGACCUGCUGGAGCCCCGCCCCG